ensembl:rRNA 5S_rRNA 5S ribosomal RNA
GUCUAUGGCCAUACCACCCUGAAUGCACCCAAUCUCAUCUGACCUCAGAAGCUAAUCAGGGUCCGAGCUGGUUAGAACUUGGAUGGGAGAUGUGUUUCAUCUACCCCCACCUCCUGCCAAACCUUUCUUUUGUCC